GCCUGGGUGGCUCAGCUGGUUGGGCGUCCGACUUCACCUCAGGUCAUGAUCUCGCAGUUUGUGGGUUCGAGCCCCGCGUCAGGCU
rnacentral:tRNA from 1 species